AGCGGGUACUCACGACUAAUCCGAGGUCAGAUCAGACUCAGUCAGGUCAGCCAACCAGCCAGCCAGCCAGCCAGCCAGCCAGUGCAGUCAGUUUAUAUGUGUGUGUGUGKAUNUUGUGGGAUGGAUGGGUKGUGGAAUGCAMUGCGYGNGGAUCACGCACCCAUUCAUAUNGCACAYGUACAGUGRNGGRGGGYUUGUKSANUGSRYACACACACACACACACACACACACACACACCAGCCCANCACUUCUUCUUUUGCUUCYAUCUCCACCACCCAAUUUUNCCUCNCCAUGCCAUCUAAGCCACACGGUGGAGGAAACAAGAAGCGGUGGCGGUGGCGGUGGCGGUGGCGGUAACAACAACCACUGUAGCACAAUCAUCUCCGCUGCACACACCUUCAAGAGAAGACGCAUGCGCACGUGCACGCACACACMCACUGACGGAGAAUGGUACAUCACAGCACAGCACAGCACGGCAUAGCACAACACGGCAGUCCCUCAAGCCACUGCUUUCAUUACGCACAGUGAUAGUUUGUAAGCCGACGCUCGGAUAGAC
rnacentral:rRNA from 1 species